ensembl:snRNA U6atac minor spliceosomal RNA
GUGUUGUAUGAAAGGAGAGAAGGUUAGCACUCCUCUUGACAAGGAUGGAAGAAACUCUGGAGCCUGACAACAUGCAUAUGGUUAAGGCAUUUGCCAGGAGCCAGUGUGA